AACAGUUCGUGCGCGAUGCGCGCAUCACGAUGCUGUACGAAGGCGCCAAUGGCAUCCAGGCGCUGGAUCUGGUCGGCCGCAAGCUCGGCCGCGCCGGCGGACGUGCGAUCACCACGUUCUUCAACGAAGUCGCUGCCUUCNAGGAGAACGCCGCCAAUGAAGCGAUGAAGCCCUACAUCGCGCCGCUCAGCGCGGCGGUGAAGGACCUUCAGCAGGCGACCAUGUGGCUGAUGCAGAAUGCGAUGGCCAAGCC
rnacentral:misc_RNA from 1 species